rnacentral:sRNA from 1 species
GAACACUUUCCCUCAGCUCUUCCUCUCUGUAAGCUCUCUCCCUCUGACAGCCCUCUCAUACAACUAAAUUUCUGUCAACCUCCCUCUCGGCCUCUCACCCUCUCGCCCCCUCGCACUCUCUCUUCCUCCUCCGACAACCCUCUAUCUCUCUGAGAUGUCGCAGCUUAUUAGAAGUCAUAAGGAGGUGAUGACUGCACCUUGUUUGAUUCCCCCGCCUCCUACUUCAGCCGCCACUGCCCUAGUAGAAAUGGACCCCAGGUAGUUAAUCCGAGUGAUCCGGUUGGUCCCCAGGUCUCCCAGGUGCCGGAGUCAUCAACCUCUUCAGUGGCGCUACUUGUUAGCGCCAGGCGUGGUCACCGUCACUGCUGAUGCCUCGGGGUCACAACAAGCAAAGAAAAAUACUCGGGGACCUUGUCGCUAGUUGAAGACAGUGAAGGUCACUCGAGUGACCAACGAACGUAUCACAAUUGGAUACAACGACCUGCAUCGGGCUACACCAACGGCGGAGCAGCAUAGCGCAUUGGCCCACGACAUUGGUCACGUCGUUCGAACCUAUUACCUUAUGCGAUGGAAGUCUUGGAUGGCGAUGCUAGACAAGGUGAGGACAAAGGUGCGUGAUUGUUUGUUGACGAAUUAAAAAUUCGACGACAUCAACAAUGAUAUGUUGGUGUAUGUCAACAGGCUCUUCGCUAAAUGCUAUAAGCAGUGGAAGAGCGACAUGCACCAAUAUUUUCAGACAUUUGAUGAUCCACAGGUUGCCCUUGAGGAGGGUUGCUCGAAGGAGUUCGAGGACCAAGAAGAAAAUUAGGUGUGGCUGUGCAGUCAUUUUCAGGAACUCGGCUAUGUGAAGAAGGCGAAAGACAACAAGAUUAAUAAGAAGAAGAAUCUUCUCCACCAUUCGGGUUCAAGGCCCUUCUCAUAUAGGAUGGAGGCGCAACGACAGGGGUUCAAAAUUCCCGGAGAUUGAUGUCUUUGCAGACGUUUAUGUUUGACCCGGGGAUGAGUUGCCCAAGUCCCUUCAUGUAAUUAAGUCUUUAGCUGUGAUUACUAUCUUAUGCAUUCAAGUAUCAUGGUUAUUAUUUCAAUGUUAUUAUUAAUAUUUCAUGUUAUAUUACAUGGGAGACGAUGAUGGAGAAGAGGCAAUCGAUUCUUCAAGAGUUCGUCUCCCAACUUCCUUUCGAGACUAUGAUUGAGUCAGUGGAUCCCCCCGAGGAUUCGGGGUUUCAGAUCCUUACAGACACCUUGGCAGACACUCAGGAGGAGGACGGGGACGUAUUACAGGGGGAUGGGGAAUGCCCAACGGCGGGAACCUAAAGCCUCUUCAUCCUCGCAAUCAAUGGGCGAGAUCACAGCUUUAACAGUAGAGGUGGUCGGCCUUAGGACUGAGCUUGCCUCGUAUAAGAGCUAGAUGUCACUGAUCGUACAUGCCCUCAGUCAGUCCGACAUUCGUCUCUCGGAUAUUCGUCCCCCGUCGACGUCCGAGCCCCUCCAACUCGAGCAUGCCCAAAACCCCGCCCCUUUGACCUCUGAGCCCAUCCUUAACCCCAAGACCUUCUUGCCCCAAGCUUUCUAGCCGCUUGCGAAUGACGACCCCUUAGAUUGUUCCAACUUUUUUUCUUAGUUUUUUUUACUCCUGUACUUUUUAAACUUUUUCCUUGUACAUACAUUUUAUUUUUAUUUUAAAUAAAU